rnacentral:lncRNA from 1 species
AGGCCCAUCUCCCCUGUCCUGCUGGGCGAGCUCUGCCACCGUUUCUGGUGCUGCCCAGCCCAGCCCUGGCACCUCCCCAGCCUGCAAGCACCCCAAGUGGGCACAAAGUGAAAAAACUUCCUGAAUCAGUUUCUGCGUGAAGGGUGAGCAGCAUUGCAUGGAAGACUACAAACUGUACUCUGAAGCACUUGAACGUUUAACUCACAGUGGAGAAAUACCGCCCAGUUUCUACUCAACAUCUUCGUUAGCCACUUGGUUUAAAAGAUUCUGGCCACUGCAUGAGGUAAAGGAUACCCACAGAUCAAGUUUUCAGGGGACUAUAUUUAAAAUAUAUUAUUUUCUGAGAUAUAAAUGACAAGUAUAAAAUAAAAAUGAAAGCAAAAGUUAAACUUUGAUUUUU